rnacentral:ncRNA from 1 species
UUAUCGGAGAGUUUGAUCCUGGCUCAGGACGAACGCUGGCGGCGUGCCUAAUACAUGCAAGUCGAGCGGAUCGAUGGGAGCUUGCUCCCUGAGAUCAGCGGCGGACGGGUGAGUAACACGUGGGUAACCUGCCUGUAAGACUGGGAUAACUCCGGGAAACCGGGGCUAAUACCGGAU